UACGUAGGGUGCAAGCGUUGCCCGGAUUUAUUGGGCGUAAAGAGCUUGUAGGCGGUUUGUCGCGUCUGCUGUGAAAAUCCGGGGCUCAACCCCGGACUUGCAGUGGGUACGGGCAGACUAGAGUGUGGUAGGGGAGACUGGAAUUCCUGGUGUAGCGGUGAAAUGCGCAGAUAUCAGGAGGAACACCGAUGGCGAAGGCAGGUCUCUGGGCCACUACUGACGCUGAGAAGCGAAAGCAUGGGGAGCGAACAGG
rnacentral:rRNA from 1 species